rnacentral:rRNA from 1 species
CCUACGGGUGGCAGCAGUGGGGAAUAUUGCACAAUGGGGGAAACCCUGAUCCAGCGACGCCGCGUGAGUGAAGAAGUAUUUCGGUAUGUAAAGCUCUAUCAGCAGGGAAGAAAAUGACGGUACCUGAUUACGAAGCCCCGGCUAACUACGUGCCAGCAGCCGCGGUAAUACGUAGGGGGCAAGCGUUAUCCGGAUUUACUGGGUGUAAAGGGAGCGUAGACGGCAAGGCAAGCCCGAAGUGAAAGGGCAGGGCUCAACCCUGUACAUGCUUUUGGAACUGGGGUGCUAGAGUGCAGGAGAGGUAAGUGGAAUGCCUGGUGUAGCGGUGAAAUGCGUAGAUAUUAGGAGGAACACCAGUGGCGAAGGCGGCUUACUGGACUGUAACUGACGUUGAGGCUCGAAAGCGUGGGGAGCAAACAGGAUUAGAUACCCGAGUAGUC